AACGUAGGAGACAAACGUUAUCCGGAUUUACUGGGCGUAAAGGGCGUGUAGGCGGUUUGUUAAGUUUGGCGUGAAAGCUCUCGGCUAAACCGGGAGAGGUCGUUGGAUACUGGCAAACUAGAGGACGGUAGAGGCGUGUGGAAUUCCGGGUGUAGUGGUGAAAUGCGUAGAGAUCCGGAGGAACACCAGUGGCGAAGGCGACACGCUGGGCCGUACCUGACACUAAAGCGCGACAGCAUGGGGAGCAAACGGG
rnacentral:rRNA from 1 species